rnacentral:misc_RNA from 1 species
CGCGGCUGGAUCCCCUCCUUUCUAAGGAGUUGCUUCUCCUUCCGUCGAGCUUCCGCUCGGCGUGCAGGAGACAACAUCCCAGUUGAUGCACUGGCCGUCCGUUCGUGCAGACCUCACCAGGUCGUAGGUUUCCCUCCCUGGUGUGGCCGGCGACCCGGACGCAGUCCUCUCUUCCGUUUUGAAGGAGCCGCAUUCGUGCGGCUCUUUCUGCUGGUGGCCGAUCAGGCCGCGGGCGCCUCUGCGCACCGCUGGCGAUCCGCCUCGCCCUUUGAGAACUGCAGAGCGAGCACGAGCAUCUUUGUUCUUCCAAGCUACAAAGAGCCAACGGUGGAUGCCUUGGCGUCUACUACCGAUGAAGGACGUGGGUAGCUGCGAAAAGCCACGGGGAGCUGCUGACCAAGCGUUGAUCCGUGGAUGUCCGAAUGGGGAAACCCGG